AAAUUGAAGAGUUUGAUCAUGGCUCAGAUUGAACGCUGGCGGCAGGCCUAACACAUGCAAGUCGAACGGUAACAGAAAGCAGCUUGCUGCUUCGCUGACGAGUGGCGGACGGGUGAGUAAUGUCUGGGAAACUGCCUGAUGGAGGGGGAUAACUACUGGAAACGGUAGCUAAUACCGCAUAACGUCGCAAGACCAAAGAGGGGGACCUUCGGGCCUCUUG
rnacentral:rRNA from 1 species